GUUUCCGGCCGCGGUGGGCGUUGCCCUGUGACGCGCGGCAGCAUGGCGGAGCUGGGGUCGCCGCGGGAGGUCGCGCAGGUCGGUUGGCCCGGGGACACCCUGGGGACACCCUGGGGGUGGGACGGGACACCGCGGAGACUCUCCCGGGACCCCCCGGCCCCCACCCGCCCGUGGGCGGCCCCCGCUACCGGGUCGCGCUCAUCGCUCGGUCCCCCCCCGCCAUGUCCGCGUGAUCCCGCACCCGCUUCCGGGUCCCGCCACGGUUCUGGGUCUCCCCCCCAUCCGAGGGUGCCCCCCCACUUUCUGGCUGCGCCCCCCCGAAUAUCUGGGUGCCUCCCCCCAUCUCUGUGUGCCCCCCGAGUCUCUGGGUACCCCCUCCCCAUCUCUGGCGUCCCCCUCCAGUUUCUGGGUGCCCCCCCAUGGGUGACAGCCCCCCCAGUCUCUGGGCGACUCCUCCCGUGGGGCCCCCCCAGUCUCUGGGUGCCCUUCCCACCUCUGCUCCCCCCCUCCAUGGGUGAUGCUCCCUCCCCCCCCAGUCUCUGGGUGCCCCCAUGAGUGACACUCCCCACACCUCUGGCUCCCCACCCCAUGGGGACACACACUGCCUAAUCUGGGUCCCCCCCUCGUAUCUAGGUGUUGCCCAAGGGUGACACCCCCCCAUACUCUGGGCACCCCCCCUCCCCACCUCUGGGUGCCCUCCCCAACCCAUGGGUGGUGUCCUCCGCAAUGUCCGGGUGCCCCCCCUUGCCCAGGUGUCCUCUCUCAUCUGGGUUUCACCACCACCACCCUCCCCCCGGGUGCUGCCACCCCUGGGUGCAGCCCCCCCACGCCCCCCCAGGAGGAGCUGCCGCCCCACGCCCUCCCCCAUCCCUGUCCUUCCUGGUGCCCGAACCCGAGGACCUGGAGGACCUUGACACCCGCCACAAGGUACGCGGGCAGCAGUGACUUCACCAGCUCCUACACAACCCAUGGGCCUCUUCCUGGCCUGUCAGCUCAGCGGUCACAGGUGACCUUGCAAACACCUACACAAGAUGGGGGCUUAGUCCUGGCCUACCAGCUUCUCAGGCACCUGGGACCUCAAAACACCCAGCACAAGACAUGUUUCUCCUGGGCUCCUCAGGCACCAGUGACAUCGCAGAGACAUCCACAAGCCAGGUGACAGCUCCUGGCCUCUCGUCUGCGCAGGCAGCAGUGACCUCCAGGCACCUACACAAUCCCUAGGCCUGUUCCUGGCCCACUGGCUACUCGGGCGUGAGUGACCUCAUAAGCACAGACACAGGGCGUGGGCCUGCUCCUGGCCUGUCAGGUGUCCAGAUAUGAAGGAUCUCACCAAACCGAUGCGAGCCGUGGGUCAGCUCAUGGCCUGUCAGCUGAGCGGGACCUCACAAGUCCUUGAUUUCCAUUUUUAUUAACUCGUUCGUGUUACUCAUCCCGUUUGUGUCCCAGAGCUCAAAAUCCACCUUUUUGAGUGCAAGUUGAAGUUAUUUCUCCUCAGAUGGUGACCCCGACGUGAUCCCGAUCGGCGCUUGGCUUGAGCAACGGAACGCGAGGGGCGAAAGACCCAGAAGGAGAUCCACCGGCUGGAGGAUGGCUCAGCUGGACUGAGACCGGGCGGAUCGGGCGGCAAUCCGGAAUAAACAGACAACGUGGCCACGGACACCCGGAGAGAGGUGAGCAGCCGGGGCAGGAGAUGGGGCAACAAGUAACAAAAGAAGAAGGGGCUGUAUUAAGACUUCUCCUGCAUAUCCUCUCUAAGAGAGGGGUGAAAUACGAUGAGCGUAUGCUCCGAAGGUUGUUAAUAUGGUACAGAGAGAACGGAUUCGCACCAGAGCCCCAGACAGCUUUUAAAGCAGAAAUAUGGGAGGCUGUUGGGAAAAAACUGUGGGAAGUGAUAAGUAAAGGAGACAAAGAGGCAUCACCGUUGGCGACGACAUAGCGGUUGGUGUUAUUGACCUUACAAGAUAUGAAGGCGGAGUGAGCCACAGCGGCCGGGGCUUUUGCAGCAUUACAACCCACGGGAGGAGGAUCAAACAGGCCAGGUCCGAAGGUUUGGGACGAUCCCCUGCUGAUCCCCUCUGCUCCACCUGAGGAAGUUCCAGAGAAAGAAGAACCGAUGGAGGAGGACGUUCCCUGGCCAGCACUGCCACCCUCGGAAGCAAGACCAACGGCACCUCCACCAGAGUGGUACAACCCCAGAACUGGGUUUUAUGAAGGUCCACCUAAGCCUCCACGGCAACAUGUUGAUGUGCACCCCAGACCACCUUUUGAUCCAUCACUGUACCCACCGCUUCCACCGUCGCCUCCCUCUCCCGCUGAACAAGAAUUGCUGUAAGGCACAUGCGAUAUGCCUUAUAGAGGAGGAGCAAGCGAUAUGAAAUAUGGAGAGGUGACAGCGGGGUGAAAGCGGGGGGGGGUAUGGGGCGGCGGUAACAGGAACGCAGGAGGAGAGUUGGGUAACGGGAACGUGGGAGGAGAGUUGGGGGGUGCGACCACGGGCUCAGGGGAGCCGCCGGAUCCGCAAGUGCAUUGGAAAGGAAUCAUUCAAAAUGCCUUGAUAGAGGGUAUAAUGUUACCAACAGAUUUCCGGUGAUACUGGGGGGAACUACGGGAGGUCGAAGGAAUCCCAAUAGAUGGGAGGGUCUUCCUUGGCCGAUGGUAAAAGAAGCGAGAAAAUUCGUGUAUGACUUUGGCCUUACACUCAGUCGUUUCUUAACAAUAUUUUCACUACUAAUGUUAUGACUCCUUUUGAUAGCCGGACACUGAUGUCCAUUAUCCUCACACCAAUGCAAGAACUAACGUGGAGAUCAAGGUGGGAGGAUGGUGUACAACGUGCGGUGAUUGCGAAUUUGAAUAGAGUGGAGGGGGAUCCGUUGUGGCUGCGACCAUGGAGAUGUUAUCAGGAACAGGUCCUUUCGCUGAUGCUCAGCGACAAGCGCGGCUAGAUGUCGCUAUCUUACAACAGUCCGCAGAGUUGGCUCGCGAAGCACUGAGGACGUUGCCGGAGGAUGGCAAGGUCACUCCCCCAUAUACGACGAUAAAACAGGGCCCCAGCGAGGGAUUCAUGCAGUUUCUUGGUAGACUCAGGAAUGCUUUAGACCGGGGAGAACUGCCAGCGGCAGCCAAAGAGGCGGUAUUUCAAUCAUUGGCCGUAGAGAACACAAAUCCAGCCUGUAAGCAUAUCUUGCAAACUUUGCCUCGACACGCCACCAUUACCGACGUGAUAGAGGCAUGCUGUAGGGUAGGGACACCUGAAGAACAGGCAGGAUUUUUGGCCUCCGCUUUUGCUGCGGCUGUCAAGCCCUUGGUCAGUAAUCGUAAUUCAGGACCAAAAUGCUUUAAGUGUGGGAAGGUCGGUCAUUUGAAGAUACAGUGUAGAGUAGGAAAGCAGAGGGGAGAGACAGAUAUGACGCCUGCUAGGAGCGGAGGAAUGGGAGGAUUUACGGGCACAUGAAAUCGGUGUCAGAAAUUUGGACAUAGAGCAUCUGAAUGCCGCUCAAAAUUCCAUAAGGAUGGCACGCCAUAGGGAAACGGGCUGAUGAGCGCGGGGGGCCCGAGUGCGACGACACAAACCAGGCCUCAGGGUCAGGGUGCGUGGGUAGCGCAGCCUCUGCCACCACAGGGAGUGCCGGAGUGGACGUGGCAACAAUAAAGGAGGUUACCCUUACAGACUCCCAAGUGCAGUGCAUUCCUACUGAUAUGGAAGGGCCACUGGGGCAUGGACUGAGUGCACUAUUAUUGGGACGAUCUUCCAUUACCAGACGGGGUUUGUUUGUGUUACCUGGGGUAAUAGACGCUGAUUAUACGGGUCCAAUUAAAGUAAUGGUAUGGACACCCACUCCACCUGUGCAUAUCCCAGCGGGUACUCGCAUUGGACAAGUCAUGCCAUUUAAGGCCGCUGUUCCAACGGCCGGAAAUCAGGUAAGGGGGGAUAAAGGUUUUGGCUCAACAGGUAAUGCAGAUAUAUAUUUAGCCCUGAAAUCAGUAAAACAAAGCCCUUGCAGCGAGUUGCCCUAAGAGCACCAGGGGGUCAAAAGUGCGUACUUGAUAUGCUUGUAGACACCGGCGCUGAUGUGACUAUGUGAUAAAUGAUUUAAUCGCAAACAGGAUUCCAAUUAGAAUUUAUAAUUUAUUAAAGGAACAAAGGCAAGCAAACAGCGCUGGGUGUGCCGGGGGUCUCUGCCCAACCAAGACACACACCUUACAGACCCCAUUUUUGGUUCAUAUCUGCUAUACUAAUACAUAUUCAUAACUGCCUCUAAAAUGGUUGGCCCUUGCCAAAAAUGGGUGUAUCCCCCCCCUUACAGGUCACUAUGCAGAUAACAACAGGACCGGUUUAAGUUGGUAUUCUAGAAUGUUCGCCAGGUGGCUCCUGCAAAACACAGACACGACAGACACACCGUCUCGUCUGCGACAGACACACCGUCUCGUCUGCGGCCAUACAGACAACACAGUCAAAGGUCACACUUCACCCUGUGGCCCUAACACUGUUCCACACUGACACGAAUCAGUUAAGCACAUUUCAAAAGAGGUGUUCCAGCUUUCACAGCAUGUUUGUGGCCCUCCUCUACACGCACGCUAACGGCUCCGUAUCUGUCUUGUGCUUGGCACCCCUGAGCUGGACGCUGUUCUCCAGCUGGGGUCUCACCACAGCAGCGUAGAGGAGGAGAAUCCCCCCCCUCCACCUGCUGGCCACGCUUCUUCUCAUGCAGCCCAGGAUGCGCUUGGCUUUCUGGGCUGCCAGCGCAGGUGUCCAGCUCAUGUUCAGUUACUCCAGCCCCAGCAUCCUCACGCCCUUCUCUGCAGGGCUGCUCUCAAUCCCUUCGUCAACACCCUCCAUGAGUCUCCUGCACUGAUUACAGCUUCAUGGGAUGCUCCUCCAGCAGCUGCCAGGGUGACUGGAGUCCCCCAGUAGAUCUCAGCCUCUGAGUGUGGUGCUUCCUGGAGGUGAAGUAAGAACGCUUCGUCAAAAGGCUCCUCUUGCUCGGGUGGCCUGUAGCAAACCCCAGCCGUGAGGAUUCCAGCUGCACAAGGGUGCUCAGCUCCUCCUCUUUGUUCCCCAGGCUGCGUGCGUUGGUACAGAGGCACUUCAGCUGGGCCACUGACCAUGGCAACUUCUUUAGAGGAACACAGCCCCUGGGAUUGGCUGCCUGCCUCCUUUGGCCCAGAAGUGCUUGGAUAUAAAACUAUAAGAUUGGUAGGCAAUAUAUACACCUAGAGGAAUAUAUCUAUGAAAGGAAGUGUAUAAUUCUAUUAAUGAAUUUAUUUAUUCAGUUAUAAAUAGGUACACUACUUAUAUAUAUAUCUAUAUAUGUGUAUACGUUUUGAUCUAGGAAAACAUUAAUAAAGGUAUAGAAAUUAAUAAUUCUGAAUCGAAAAUUUUGAAUGUUUCUAAAUUUGAAUUGUCGUUUUUAAUUGGAUAAAUCCUUCUUCAAUAAGAUUUAGUGUAGUGAAGAAUUAGAGUUUAAAUGUGAACGGAAGCAGAAGGAAAAGGCCGGGUGGGGGUCCCCCACUUUACCAGGCUGCAGAACAAGCC